CGGACAGAUCGGCGUUCACGGAGCCAGCCGUAGCCAUGGAUAGGAGAUAUAAACAAGGCUGGAAAUCAGUGUUCCUGCUCCGAAUUCAAGAUUUUUGCUUGAUGUCAUUAAACUAAACCAUGAGCAGGGUGGCAAAAAGGAAGGAGCCUCGUCUCCUUUGGCAGCGGAGCGAAAAAGUGACCGGAUUAUUCCAGCGCCACUGGUGGCGCUAAUGUUCUAUCUCUCAGUUUGCUUGACCGACCCUCAAUAUUCGACUGGGGUGGAUGCCGGCAGUUAGAUGGUUUGGUACCAAAACGAUUUGAUACAAAAAAUUUGUUGGAACUCGAUAAUCCCACGCGGUCAUCACGAUGAUUAACAGAGAACAGAGAAAACUAGAAGGAAUGAAACUCUGCGCUUUAUUUUCAGCAAAGGGUGCCAACCUUGCAGAAAUGCACAUGCUCUGUGUUGGAUCAAUGACGCCCAACAAAGGACCUAAGUACCAGAAAAUAGACGAGGAAAUAACCAGGUUGAAGACUGCUUCUAUAAAUAGAGACAUUUCCUUAAGGAAAUACAUGCAUGAAACAUUGCACUGUAUUAAAAACUGUACUUACAUUUAACUGCAAUUAGAUGAAAAAUCCUUUUAAUUUUUGAAUAUUUUUAUGUGUGCUAAAUUUUAAAUUGAAGGAAUUUUUUUCCUCCACAAAGUAUUUAAUGAGAGCAAUGACUUCUGUAAACUUGCCAAUAUCAAUUGAAUAAUUGUGUUUAUUUCUUUUGAAACAUAUUGAUAAAUCUCAUUUCUCAAGCUCAUUUUUAUCAACUCAUAAAGCCCCAAAAGUGUUCCAAGGUUGCAUUUUGCAAUUUGUUUUCUUAACAUAUUUAUUUAUUUUUUUUUUAUUUUUUUUUUUUGAGCAACCACGAUUGCUUAUUGUUCUCACUUGACAGUUUUGAAUUCCUAUUUCUCCCCGCCUUCCUCUGCAGCACCACCGUUGGCCAGCCGCCUCAGGAUGCUGCUCCUCUAGUGAAAACAGUCUCCAGGUUGCGUCACUUACUUGCCUACACUUACACAUACACCUACACACACAGACACACACAUGCCUACACGCAUGCACAUACUCCCACACACAAACAAACAUACCCCACACACACACCCUCGUGAUUGAGAAAAACAUAAUUUGAAUUCAAGAUGUCAAAUUUCAAUUUUUUUUUUUUUCCGCUCAAACCUGUGAGACUUAAGUGGUUUUUUACUGUUUGUUUCUUUUGGCACCCUUGAAACUGUGCGACUUGUUUUUUUUUUUAUCGCAUAAAUGUCUGUUAAUAAUAACCGCUAAUGACCCGGGGGAUAUUUAAACUGCUCGCGACUUAUGUUCUUCCUCUUAGAUUAUCUCUCAUCGUCAAAGGCGGUCGCUAGGCCGGAAUUCGAACUUGCUUGUUCGUGCCGCUUGCCCAUUCGUGAAUAUGAUGAACUUGUAUUAGCUUAUUUCCUAAUGGGUUUUUUCGUUGAAGUCUUUAGUCGAUAGUCAUGCAGUUUAGAUUUCAUCAUUGCUGUAUUA